rnacentral:rRNA from 1 species
CCUACGGGCUGCAGCAGUGGGAAAUAUUGCACAAUGGGCGCAAGCCUGAUGCAGCCAUGCCGCGUGUAUGAAGAAGGCGUUAGGGUUGUAAAGUACUUUCAGUUGGGAGGAAGGCGUUGAUGCUAAUAUCAUCAACGAUUGACGUUACCAACAGAGGAAGCACCGGCUAACUCCGUGCCAGCAGCCGCGGUAAUACGGAGGGUGCACGCGUUAAUCGGAAUUACUGGGCGUAAAGCGCACGCAGGCGGUUGAUUAAGUUAGAUGUGAAAUCCCCGGGCUUAACCUGGGAAUGGCAUCUAAGACUGGUCAGCUAGAGUCUUGUAGAGGGGGGUAGAAUUCCAUGUGUAGCGGUGAAAUGCGUAGAGAUGUGGAGGAAUACCGGUGGCGAAGGCGGCCCCCUGGACAAAGACUGACGCUCAGGUGCGAAAGCGUGGGGAGCAAACAGGAUUAGAUACCCUAGUAGU